rnacentral:rRNA from 1 species
GUUAUCAAAAACAUGUCUGUAUGAUUAUAUAUAAAGUCUAGCCUGCCCACUGAUUUUUAAAGGGCCGCGGUAAUUUGACCGUGCGAAGGUAGCAUAAUCAUUAGUCUUUUAAUUGAAGGCUGGAAUGAAUGGUUGGAUGAGGGAUAUACUGUCUUUAAUUUAAAAAAUAAAUUUAACUUUUAAGUGAAAAGGCUUAAAUAUUUUAGUGGGACGAUAAGACCCUAUAAAACUUUAUUUGGUGUGGGGUUAGCGAUGACUUUGUUUUAAAAUUGCUAUUUUUGCGUUAAAUUUUGUUGGGGAGACAUUAAUAUAAUAGGUAACUGUUGUUGAAAUUAAAUAAUUAUAAUUAGGUUUUGAUCCUUUAUUAGAGAUUAAAAGAUUAAGUUACUUUAGGGAUAACAGCGUAAUUUCCUUUGAGAGUUCUUAUCGACAAGGUUAGUUGCGACCUCGAUGUUGAAUUAAAAUUUCUGGGGGGUGUAGUCUUUCUCCUAGUAGGUCUGUUCGACCUUUAAAAUUUUACAUGAUUUGAGUUCAAACCGGUGUGAGCCAGGUUGGUUUCUAUCUAA